AGUGAGAUUCAACGGGAUAGAGUUUGGAGCUCACAGCCAAGAUUGAAGAGCCCUCAUUCUCCAUUAUUUCAUUUGAUCUUCACAACACCAGGAGGAACAAUAAAGUGGAGGAAUUCCAUGGGAACUGGAACAACCUCCAGGAAGUGACACAGAGUGAGAGGAGCAGAACCAGGAGAACAUUAUAUACAGAGACUGAUACA
rnacentral:lncRNA from 1 species